ACAGUGCCAUAUUUGGGUUACUGUUCAGAGUAGAUCGUUCGUUUUACAUUCGAGAAGAGUUUACAUAUUACUUGAAUGAAGAGGAUAACAUAAUACUGAGGUAAAAAUUUUGUGUAAAGUAUGUUUUCAGUUUAGUUUACAAUACAAGCUGUAAAUGUGCUGGAGAUUUUAUUGAUGUUGAAGCUUGUAAACAAAACCAAUAAACGUAGGACUUAUUCACGGCAAUGUAUGGGAACCAGAGCUGGGAACCAGUCUAGAAGGCAAAGAAAAAUUCCGCCAAGUAAACAACAAAGAAAGGGAUUUGGGAUGUUGUCAGUUGUAUACAUUAUGUGGGCCGGUGACUGCAAGAAGCAAGGAAUGUGGAGCUAAUGCAUCCUGCUAAGGAUGGAAAGUUCUUGUGUUUAUUGGUUGUUCCUGAGACACCAGUCACAGUUGUACCUUAUUUCCAUUUUAGAAGCAAGGAAUGUGGAGCUAAUGCAUGCUGCUAAGGAUGGAAAGGUCUUGUGUAUAUUGGUUGUGCCUGAGACACCAGUCACAGUUGUACUUUAUUUUCAUUUUAGGUA